UGACCACUCUGCUCUCUCUGGCAGGUCAUGAUGAUGGGCAGCGCCCGUGUGGCGGAGCUGCUGCUGCUCCACGGCGCGGAGCCCAACUGCGCAGACCCCGCCACUCUUACCCGACCGGUGCAUGAUGCUGCCCGGGAGGGCUUCCUGGACACGCUGGUGGUGCUGCACCGGGCCGGGGCGCGGCUGGACGUGCGCGAUGCCUGGGGUCGUCUGCCCGUGGACCUGGCCGAGGAGCGGGGCCACCGCGACGUUGCAGGGUACCUGCGGGCGGCCACGGGGGACUGACGCCAGGUUCCCCAGCCGCCCACGACGACUUUAUUUUCUUACCCAAUUUCCCACUCCCACCCACCUAAUUCGAUGAAGGCUGCCAACGGGGAGUGGCGGAAAGCCUGUAAGCCUGCAAGCCUGUCUGAGACUCACAGGAAGGAGGAGCCGACCGGGAAUAACCUUCCAUACAUAUUUUUCUUUGUCUUGUCUGGCCCUCGACACUCACCAUGAAGCGAAACACAGAGAAGCGGAUUUCCAGGGAUAUUUAGGAGUGUGUGACAUUCCAGGGGUCGUUUGCUUUUCAGGGUUUUCUGAGGGAAAGUGCAUAUGAAAUCCUUGACCGGCCCUGGUGGCUACAAAUCUUCCGAUGGAUGAAUCUCCCACUCCAGCGCUGAGUGGGAGAAGGCAGUGAUUAGCACUUGGGUCAGGGCAGUCGAUGCGUUCACUCCAAUGUCUGCUGAGGAGUUAUGGUGAACCCACAACUUAGGCCCUAGCGGCAGAAAGGAAAACCUGAAGACUGAGGACAAAGUGGACGAGGGCCGAGGUGGGCUUCAGUAAGUCCCCGGCUGCGCUUUAGUUUGAGCGCAUGGCAAGUCACAUGCGAAACGACACUCUCUGGAAGCCCUGGAGACCCGCGCCCAACUCCACCAGAUAGCAGAGGGGUUAGAGAGGAUGUGCAAGCGACGACAGAUGCUAAAAUCCCUGGAUCACGACACUGCAGAGCACCUUUGCACAGGGUGCUGGCCUUUGCUCUUACUACACUGAGGAGAGAUUCCCGCCGGUUCCGGAGGCAGACUACAC
rnacentral:sRNA from 1 species